UAGGCGGACGGGUGAGUAACGCGUGAGGAACCUGCCUUGAAGAGGGGGACAACAGUUGGAAACGACUGCUAAUACCGCAUGACGCAUAGGGGUCGCAUGAUUCUUAUGCCAAAGAUUUAUCGCUUCAAGAUGGCCUCGCGUCUGAUUAGCUAGUUGGCGGGGUAACGGCCCACCAAACCGACGAUGGAUAGGGGUUCUGAGAGGAAGGUCCCCCACAUUGGAACUGAGACACGGUCCAA
rnacentral:rRNA from 1 species